AGGCCUUUUUUUAAUGCUUCUUUGGCAGCAUUUUGUCAUGCACAAAAGAAUUCCCAAAGCUACAUUUUUGAAGAUUACAGAAAAUCCAUGUUUCAAGUUCCGGAGAGAGCAAUUUAUCAAACAAUUAUGCAGAUUACGUAAGAAAGACUUACAAGGGAUCUUCAACAUGGUGCAAGUAAAUCUGGUAUGGCGUGGAUCUUCAUAAGACGGUUCAUGUGAUGCAGUUAGGCGUAUGUCUUCAUAAGACAUGUAGUAUUGUCGGUUGUCGAAUCGUCUAUGUAAUCUUUCUCAUAUCAUAAUUGUAAGAUCAUAAUAUAUCAGCGUUAAAAAAAAAGUGGGUUAAUUUCAAUUAAUUUGAUUCAAAAUUUAAUUAGUUCGGUUUGAGUUUUGGCAUGAUUUGGAUAUAUUUUUCACUAUAAAAUAAAAAAAAUGAAAUAAUCAAUUUCCAAACCAAACCGAAUCGAAAACAAAAUAGACCCGUUGGAAAAUGUACACAAAAGGUCCAAAACCAUUAUAGUUUAGCAUUGUUUCAUAGCCAAACAAUUCAUAUCACUAAUCUGUCGCUAUUUUCGAUUGUUUAAGGAUAUGUUAACUCUUAGUGGAUGGAUAUGUAAUCAAGGUAGGAUAAGACGCUAAAAGAAAGUGACAUGGAGAUUCGGAUAAGAGCGCAAUAAAAUGAUGAACUGAGAUUACAUUAUGCAUAGUAUCCUCCUCUAUGGUUAAGAAUAUAUACAGAUAUAUAUAUAUAUAUAUAUAUAUAUAUAUAUAUAUAAGAACAUGAAUUUUGUUGUUUAUAAUUUUAUCCACUAACGAGUUGAAAGUUUACAACGAUUGAAGCUUGCAUAGUGACUUGCACCAUAAGAUACAGUUCUCUUUUCUUAACUGUGUUGUCUUUUACGUGGUCCAUCGCGAAAUUCUUUGUCUCUCUCGAUUAAAUUUCUAAGUUGAGAUUCUAGGUCAUGGACCUACCAAUAACGAUACAGGAAUUGUUAUUUGGCACAUAUAAUCACACUUUGGAAUGGUGAUUUUACAUGUUUAUAUUAUUCACUAACAUUCAUCAUAUAGUUUUUCAUUUUUAUUUUACAAUUUCUGAAAGUGAUUUCAUUGAGUAAUUGAUGAGUGCUUAUUAAAACAAUAUUUUAGCAUUCAAUAUACCUUCAUAUUUUUUUUGUUUUUUUUGUAACUGGAUAUACCUUAAUAUUUGGUCAGACAAAAUUAGGAUCAUCAACCACAACUGAGUUCUGUGUCCCUGACUCGGUUUAUACUCAACUAACGUUCCAAACAAUGAUUUAUCAUGUGUGGAUAUAAUAGAAUGGGAGACGGCACCAUCGAGGAAACUACCUCCUUUUUUUCAUCUCCACAUAAUAGACAAAUUGGUAUGUGAUCAUAUCAUUGACCUUCGCUACAGAGAGGCUACCAACUCUCUUUUUUUUUGUUGCUAAAAGUUAAAUAUCAUAGAUAUGAAAAGAGAUUUACAGAAAGUAGAAUCUAGAGCAUGUUACACCAUGGCAAAAAAAGAAUAAAAAACAUAGUGAUAAUAGGUUGAUCAACGCAUCCACUUGGACGUGAGACUUAGGAAGGGCUUCCUCUCUCGUCUGCAGUGAUAGUAUUGCGCACCUCUUUGUCUAUAAGCCGGUGGAUAGAAUCUGGAGGCAAGACAAUGCGGUUGUGCAAGACAUUGUUUUUCUGUUUCUACUAGUGGUAAAUUACAGAUUGUGCAGCUAGCUUCCUCAAGACAUAGUGGCUACCGACACUUACAUCGGUGAUAUUGAAAGGAACUUCAUUAAUACUAUGUGCUUAACUAUCUCUCCUUGAUAAUGUAAAGAGAUAUUCUCUAUUUAUGCUUUAUAAUAUAAAACCUGAUAAGACUUGGAGGUUUUAUAUCAUACAACUUGAUAAUGUAAAGUGAUAUUCUCUAUUUUCCUAUACCUUUUAUAUUAUCUUAAAAACUUAUAUAACGUAGCUCAACUCUUCAACUAUAAAAUGUCUGAACCCUGUAACCUGUUGACAAUAAAAGAAAAGUAUGCAUCUUACAUAUGUAUGUUUAUGAAUGAAUAAUAAAUAUUUUCAGAACACAAACUUAUUAUUUCAAAUCACUCUAUCAACAUGUAUGUAUCAUAAUUAUAUCAUCUUUAAUACUGUUGAAUUGAUAUGUGGAGUGCAAGCAUGUACAGUGGUAUGAACUCUUUUCACAUAUAUAUUGAAUAUAGUUAAUUUUAAUAUUUCCAUCAUAAAGUAACUAUGUACUAAGUAAUAAUAGUUAUACUAUUAUCCAAUAUCUAUAUUUUACUAUUCAUUAUACAAUUGCAAUAGCGUGCCAUUCACGAACACAUGAAUUUGAGAUAAAAUUUGGAUUUCAUAUUAAAGUAAGAUAUUGUUAUUAGAAGUGGACAAAGGAAAAACAUGUUCGCAACCAUUCCCGUCUAAGUUCUUUCAAUAGAUGUACAUAAUACUGAUAACAUAUUUCUACAAAUCGCUGACCAAAUAUUUGUUACAAAGUACAAAUUCUAUAUGCUUUGACUGAUUAGAGUAUAUAUAUAUAUCGGAUUAACAUUUAAAAUUAACAUGAACAUAACAAAUCAUGCGAAACAAAUCUUGUUGUGUUGUGUCUGUAAUAAAGAGACAAAAUGCUCAGCGCAAACUUAGCCGAUUGUUUAGAUUAUAAUCCCACAAUCAUGGUCUAAUCUUGUUCUAAUCAUUCCCUUAUUCUUCUUUCUAAGAAAAAACGAUUAUGAAUUUAUUAAUUUUAUAGUGAUCAGAUCUGAUCUUUAGUUUUUAUUAUUUAUUUUUGCUUCAGUCUAUACUCUAUAGGUAAGUUUUCCUUGGGUAAGUGGACAUUAUGGGAGCGUUAUGUGUGUCAUUGUUGCUAUUGGUUGAAGUCGUACGGCGAAUUUACAUAAACGAAUCAACUUGAUGAAUAUUUUUUAGCUUUAUAAUUCAGUCCCAUUCAGGCAUUCACUUCCCAUGUGCCAUCCUGAGAGCAACUUUGCUAUAAUUAUUUAAUCAUAUAUAUAUAUAUAUAUAUAUUUAACAAAUGAUAUACUGGGUUCAACAUAUACUCUCCCCAAUACAUGUAAGGGAUCUAAUUUUUAAGACAACGAAGGUUUCAUGUUUCUCUAUUUUGGUAUUUUUUAAAAAUAUCAUAGUGUUGGUGUUUAUGGUUUUUGAUAUUUUGAUAUUUUUCUGGUGGUUUUUAAAAAAAUUAACCAAUAUAUAGUGUUAGUGUUUAAGACAACAGAGCAUUUCAUGUUUCUCUUAAUUGAAUUCAUACGUUUUUUAAUUAAGUUCAGACGUUUUAAAAAAAAAAUUAACCAAUUAUAUUGGCAAUUAAGAUAAUACCUUUAUUAUUUAUAGAGAUGCAGUUACAAAGAUGGAAUUUUGGUCACUAGUUUAGAAAACGAACACCGAAACAAUAGGAAAUUAUGUAAUUCAUCAUCAAUCAAUUAUGGUUUUUUUGGGAAAAAAGGAAGUGACUGGUGGUGGAUGUAGAUAUUUUAGACAUCCAAAAUUUAAUCAAAAAUCAUGUAUAUUAACCAAUCAAGUUUUGCUUUUCUUAAAAAUAUUUACAGAAAAAAACUUUUACAUCGAAAAAAUUUACAAAAUAAAUCUAUACGACUUAAAUUCUACAGCAAAAAAAACACAGAUCUACCAACCAUUCCAAUCACUUCCAUAAUUUAUUUUU